rnacentral:sRNA from 1 species
AAAGAAAAAAGGAAAAAAAAAAAUGAAAACAUAUUAAAC